UUGAUGCAUUCAAUACAUCAAGCCGGGAAGGGGAUUAAAUAGAGGAUCACGCACAUGUGCGUUGGAGAAGGCAGGGGGCUUAGGCAGGUGUUGGGAGGAGCAGUGUGUGACAUGCGUAAACAUUGGAACGCAGGCGCCAUAAAAGGGGUUAUUAUUGCUGGGUGCCAAAGGAAGGGUAAGAUGGCGCCCUUAGGCCGCCCUAUUACACUAGGCGAUACCGAGCGCGCCACUUUCCUAGGAGUCUGGUAAAAUGGCAGAUGUGUGUUUAUGGCGGGAGUAAACAGAAAGCCAAUUUUCUAGGUUGUUUGCACGCAGAUGCUUCCCGACAAAUUCAGUGUCGUGCGUUGCAGACGAUUCAGAUAGAGAGCAGUUAUGCAGCCCGAUCCUAUGCGUCUUUGGUGUAAGUCACAGAGUUCAACAGGACUCACUGCCAGCGAAAAAGAAGGAAGGUGCUCAAGCGCGGUGAAUUUCAAGGACUUCUGUCACCGGCGAAGCAAAAGGCGGGCGGAGAGAGGAAGCCCAUUGUAAAAGCCUGGGAUCUUUCACAUCAGCCUCUUCAAUCUUACCCUGGAAAAGGACAGGGGGAGAAGCAGACCCGAGGCCUCUGUUUUGCCAGUACUUCACGAAGCACCUUCUUAAUCAGAGUCCCAUGGCGGUGCUCUUUCAAAGUUCAGCUUUUUCCUUUCCCUGGUUCCAGUUCUCUCUCCCAGAGCUCACGUGCGCACGCGCGCGCACACCUUGAACGUCUAGAUAGCACGUUACACGGCUUCUGACUGGCACACGGCUAUGCUUGGAAUAAAAUGCGGGCAGCGUGCAUUUUGCUAGCGAGCGCGGUAGACUGCAGAAGGCGGAGAAGCUUAGUUUGCAUCUGCAAUCCUCUGCUCGGCUUUCCCUGCCUAAGUAUUUUGCUUUUUAAAUGAAAGUGGAAUCCAAAUGGAGUUAGUCAUUUGGUGAACAUGGCUGAGGGGCUUCUGAGCUGAGAUAUUUAUACUGGCAGCACAGUUGCGGUAUAGUCAAGAUGAGUUUUUCAACAUUCCACCAUUAUAAGCCUUGAAUAUUCUAUUGCUUAUUAUAAAGUCAAAAGUAUCCCCCCACACACACACAAUCCCUCUGAAAUCGUGCACACAUAACAUAACCUAGGCGACACCACCCCUCCAAAUUUGGUGCAAAUCUGUUGCAAAAUGGCUGAACUACAACAGUUUAAGUUUUUAAUUUCUAAAAAGAGGUUUCAAAGUUUUGGCGACCGUUUCUCACCACAGAUAAUGUAUAUUUUAAAAUGUCGGAUGUCUUUUUAGCAUUCCCCUCAAAUUCAGGUCCAUAAGGGACUGGUGCCUUUUGCUUGUUUGAAAAACAUCAGUCUAGUGAUUUUUGAGUAAUUACUGUUCAAAAUCCCCAUAACUAAGGGGAAGUGAGCUAAGAGCAUAACUAAGUCUGCCCACAGACAAUUCUGAAGUCAAAGCUGGGAAGGGCAAAUCCUGGCAAUUUCUAGCAAGUUACUUCCUGGUUCUGAACAUAGGUGCCUGAUAAGAACAUUCUAUGAGCACUCUGGCACUUGUAUAGUUAAACAAGCAUUACUCCCACUCCCUUUCCUUCCAUGGGCAUUUGUUUUCUCCCUCUGCCCACUUUCUCUCCCCCCACCAAAGCGGGGAAGCAGAGGCCCUCAGCAAAGCUUUGAACAAAUUACUAGGAAGUAUGUCCAUUAAGUCCACUGGAGCUUACUUCU